rnacentral:rRNA from 1 species
UACGUAGGGUGCGAGCGUUAAUCGGAAUUAUUGGGCGUAAAGCGCGCGCAGGCGGCCUUUUAAGUCUGAUGUGAAAGCCCACGGCUCAACCGUGGAAGGUCAUUGGAAACUGAAAGGCUUGAGUACAGAAGAGGAAAGCGGAAUUCCACGUGUAGCGGUGAAAUGCGUAGAGAUGUGGAGGAACACCAGUGGCGAAGGCGGCUUUCUGGUCUGUAACUGACGCUGAGGCGCGAAAGCGUGGGGAGCAAACAGG